rnacentral:rRNA from 1 species
AGGAUCGUCGGGAGAGGGGCCGCGGUGAGAGGGAGCGGGGGGACGGUGAUGGGAAGCACGAGGCUUAAGGGGGGCGUAGGCGGGCGGCGAAGUGCGGGGUGAAAGCCUCCCGCCCAGCGGGGGAAGAGCCGCGGAGACUGGGGGGCUGGAGGGAGGUAGGGGCAAGCGGAACUGUGGGUGGAGCGGUGAAAUGCAUUGAGAUCCACAGGAACUCCGGUGGCGAAGGCGGCUUGCUGGACCUCUUCUGACGCUGAGGCGCGAAAGCCAGGGGAGCGAACGGGAUUAGAUACCCUAGUAGUC